UACGAAGGGGGCUAGCGUUGUUCGGAAUUACUGGGCGCAAAGCGUGCGCAGGCGGCCAUCCAAGUCAGUGGUGAAAGCCCGGAGCUCAACUCCGGAAUUGCCAUUGAAACUGUUUGGCUCGAGUACGAGAGAGGUGAGUGGAAUUCCCAGUGUAGCGGUGAAAUGCGUAGAUAUUGGGAGGAACACCAGUGGCGAAGGCGGCUCACUGGACCGGAACUGACGCUGAGGCGCGAAAGCGUGGGGAGCAAACAGG
rnacentral:rRNA from 1 species